ACCUGACACUUCUGGUCUCUUCAGGUUGCACAUACACAUGUGCCCCUAUGCGAACACACAUCCAUAUAUACAUAAUCAAAAAUAAAAGGUUUUUUUUUUUUUUUUUAAAGACAGGGUCUCAUGUAGCUCUGGCUGUUAGACCAGGCUGGCCUUGAAUUCUCAGAUAUCUGCUUCCCAAGUGCUGACUACGACUAGCUCGCAAUAACAAAAUCUUUAAAAAGAAAGCAAGCCAUGUGUCCUUGCCUCACUAUGGCAUGUCAUGCCCAGCUGGUGGUCUCUGUGGCUCUGUGUUGUGGAGUUUGGAACAUGGUGAGGGUCACCUGGUAGGUGAGCUGACAGUUAGGACUGAAAUGGCCUUGGAUCUAUCAACCUGGGUCCCAGCAAUCACCAGUGAGGUGCUGCCUGUCACAGCUGAGGCUGGGAUUGCCUCUGCCUGUUACAUGCUGCAGAAGUGUGUAUGCGGGUUUGUGGAAGUGGAGCAAACCACACCUUCUGCAUGUGUGGAGGAGACACUGACCCCUGUGAGCUUAUUUAGUAAUUAGCAUGCCAGGCUUCUGGAGGCAGAGGGGGAGGAGCCCCUCUGCUUUCCCUCCACCCCGGGGGUGGGGGUGGGGUGGGGAUUAGAUUGCUGUUUGCUGCAGCAAUCGCUCCGAUUCUGUGCUUUUCUUUUGAAGGGUCUCGUGUAGGCCAAAAUGACGUUGAUGUCUCUUUGUAGCCGGAUGACUUUGAACUCCUGAUCUGCCACACCACCUCCAGUAGGAUCUGUGUGACAAGUUCCGCACACUGAGGCGACCGACCUCAAAAGGGGGAGGCCUCCUGGAACCGGCUGUGGAACUUUUCGCCAGAGAAAAAUUAUUGAGCCGUGGUUCUCAUGGCAAUCUCUCUGUUUUGUUUUCUCUUAUUCCUUUUCUUAUUUACAUGUUCCUCGAAGCCCAAGCUAAGAUCUUAAGUGAGAAUAAUGGGUAAGGAAGCAUCCCUAGAGAUGGGGUCACUAACAUGACCUCAUCCCUGGGGAAACCAACGCUUUACUUUCUAAAUCAUUUACAAAACUAUGAUGAUAGAUAAAAGUUUUUCCAACAAUAAAAUUUCAUAUGGCUACACGUGUGUCAUCGGAGGUUGGUUUUGGUAUAUGGUAAAGGAAGCCUUAAUUAGAAAGAAUUAAAAUAGUUUAAAUUUAUGUGUUGAAGAUUUAUUUAAAAAAAUCAGGCAUUAGAAGUAAAAUAAUAAUUGACCAUGGGGCUGGAGGGUUAGUUCCGCAGUUAAGAGCACUGACCAUAAAGAUUUAUUAACCUGCUCUUGGAAACAUGCCACUAGCCUUGGACGACAGCCCUCACUGAAUACAUCCUUUUGGAAUUGUUCUAUUUUGAUGAUUUACAAUGACGUUACCUGUUCUGUUUGCGAUUCACUGAACACAUAGCUUCAGAGUUGUAGUGCUUGGAUGAUUUUUGUGCUUUACUGUGCCAAAUGAUUUUUGUUGGUAUUUGUGAUUGUUUCAUUUGGAUUUAGUUUCUAAGAGAUGUAAUGUUUGGUUCUUUAAUAUACAAAUUUCCUGGCUUGAGAGCUGUAGAACACACUCAGAUUCAAACUGCCUCUGUGUUUGUUUCUGUUUGUCACUGCCGAAUCCCUACCCACCUAGCUUCGAGGACCUUCAUUCCAGGGAUACUCCCCCACCCCCCCGCCGUACUGGACUGGGGUAGUCCGUGGCACUGAUCCUCCGGCCUCUGCCUCCCGAGGUCUACACUACAGGUCUGCAUCACCAUAUCCAGCCUGUCUAUACUCUGAAUAUUAAAUUGAGGAUUUUUUAGAUAUAGCUUUUGCUUUUUGGUACAGGGUCUCACUGUGUAGUUGAGAUACAGGGUCUCACUGUGUAGUUGAGGGUGGCCUUGAACUUGAUAUUCUCUUGCAUGGAUGCUAGGGUGGAUUCCAGGCAUAGACAGAGGUGACUGUCCUCAUAUUUUACAGAUGCUAGAUGUAUUAAUUGUUUUCUUGCUGUGACAAAAUAUCUUGACC
rnacentral:lncRNA from 1 species